AGACAGGGAGCUGGCCUGGUGAUUAUAGAGAGUGACGAGGAGCAGGGGUUCAUCACCAACAGAACAGGAGAGCACCCAUACUGGAUUGGAUUGACUGACUUAGAAACAGAGGGCACCUGGCUCUGGGUAGACAAAACCUUGCUGCAGAAAGGGUUCUGGAGAAGUGGAGAACCGGAUGAUCUUUACUGGUCUGGGGAUGAAACCCAGAGCAAAGAAAAAGAUGCAGACUGUGCAGUUACCAUACCUAAUGAGAACACGUGGCAAGAUGCCCUCUGUUUUUCUCCUUUCAAGUUUGUCUGUGAGACUGGCGCUCUUUUGUUCUAAACAGUCUGCCAUGCUGGAUGAUGUCAUUAUCAUUACUUGGAAUCAUAUCAUCAUUUGGAAAGUAUGUGACUUGAGUGUUGACCUACGAGGAAUGCUUUUAUAAUGUUGCCGUUUUUCUCAAUCGCUUUGGCCCAAUUCCUGCAACAUUGUUGUCAUGUUCUCUUAACUAUAGGAGCAUUUGCCAAAACAUUUUAUGUCCAAUAAAAGACUUCAAAUGAAUUCACAAUGACCAUCACAGUUCAUGUUUUCUUUAUGAACUUUAAGGGGAAAUAGCAUGAAGAAUUACAAUAUUGCACAAUUGCACACCUGUUUUCUCUUCAGAAUGUCCAUAUGAUUGAUGACACCAUGGACCGGCCCGCAUUAGGGUGUAAGACCAUGGUUGAUUACAUACAACGACAUACACAAAGAGUAGUUGCACAGAUUGUUUGAGAGUAAGACUAUUCAACAGGAAAACACCUUAAUCUGUUCUGAUCAGCAAGACUUAUGCCAUUGAACAUUGCGCCAAUUGUAACUGUGAACUAUGGGUGCACCUCCUGUACGUUUCACUGAAA